rnacentral:rRNA from 1 species
GACAGAGGAGCCAAGCGUUGUCCGGAUUGACUGGGCGUAAAGCGCACGCAGGCGGUCGUGCACGUGGGGUGUGAAAACUGGCGGCUUAACUGCCAGAGGCCACCUCAUACGGCGCGACUCGAGCCAUGGCAGAGGUCCACGGAAUUGCCGGUGUAGUGGUGAAAUGCGUAGAGAGUCGGCAGGAACACCCAGGGGGAAACCAGUGGACUGGGCAUGUGCUGACGCUCAGGUGCGAAAGCGUGGGGAGCGAACCGG